rnacentral:rRNA from 1 species
CCUACGGGAGGCAGCAGUGAGGAAUAUUGGUCAAUGGACGAGAGUCUGAACCAGCCAAGUAGCGUGAAGGAUGACUGCCCUAUGGGUUGUAAACUUCUUUUAUAUGGGAAUAAAAUGUUCCACGUGUGGGAUUUUGUAUGUACCAUAUGAAUAAGGAUCGGCUAACUCCGUGCCAGCAGCCGCGGUAAUACGGAGGAUCCGAGCGUUAUCCGGAUUGAUUGGGUGUAAAGGGAGCGUAGGUGGAUUGUUAAGUCAGUUGUGAAAGUUUGCGGCUCAACCGUAAAAUUGCAGUUGAAACUGGCAGUCUUGAGUACAGUAGAGGUGGGCGGAAUUCGUGGUGUAGCGGUGAAAUGCUUAGAUAUCACGAAGAACUCCGAUUGCGAAGGCAGCUCACUGGACUGCAACUGACACUGAGGCUCGAAAGUGUGGGUAUCAAACAGGAUUAGAUACCCCGGUAGUC